UACGGGGGGGGCAAGCGUUGUUCGGAAUUACUGGGCGUAAAGGGCGUGCAGGCGGCCAACUAAGUCCGACGUGAAAUCCCCAGGCUUAACCUGGGAACUGCGUCGGAUACUGGAUGGCUUGAAUCCGGGAGAGGGAUGCAGAAUUCCAGGUGUAGCGGUGAAAUGCGUAGAUAUCUGGAGGAACACCGGUGGCGAAGGCGGCAUCCUGGACCGGUAUUGACGCUGAGGCGCGAAAGCCAGGGGAGCAAACGGG
rnacentral:rRNA from 1 species